GCCGACGUAGCUUAAAGGUAGAGCAGCUGAUUCGUAAUCAGCAGGUUAUAGGUUCAAAUCCUAUCGUCGGCUCCA
rnacentral:tRNA from 1 species